ACGGGGGUUGCGAGCGUUGUCCGGAAUUACUAGGCGUAAAGGGCAGGCAGGCGGAUCUAUAAGUUUUUCGUUUAAGGCGUCAGCUUAACUGGCGUACGGCGGGAGAUACUGUAGAUCUGGAAUGCGGUUGGGGAAGACAGAAUUCCUGGUGUAGCGGUGUAAUGCGCAGAGAUCGGGAGGAAUACCGAAGGCGAAGGCAGUCUACAAGGCCGUCAUUGACGCUCAACUGGGAAGGUGUGGGAAUCGAACAG
rnacentral:rRNA from 1 species